UACGGAGGGGGCCAGCGUUGUUCGGAAUCAUUGGGCGUAAAGGGCGCGUAGGCGGCUUUGUAAGUCCGUUGUGAAAUCCCUCGGCUCAACCGAGGAACUGCGACGGAUACUGCUUGGCUUGAGUCCCGGAGAGGGUAGCGGAAUUCCCAGUGUAGCGGUGAAAUGCGUAGAUAUUGGGAGGAACAUCGGUGGCGAAGGCGGCUACCUGGACGGGUACUGACGCCGAUGCGCGAAAGCUAGGGGAGCAAACAGG
rnacentral:rRNA from 1 species